CUCUUUGUGGUGCAAUGGGUCGGUGUGUCUGGCUGUUAACCAGAAGGUUGGUGGUUUGAGCCCACCUAGGGAUA
rnacentral:tRNA from 1 species